rnacentral:rRNA from 4 species
CAUUAAGUUGGGCACUCUAAGGUGACUGCCGGUGACAAACCGGAGGAAGGUGGGGAUGACGUCAAAUCAUCAUGCCCCUUAUGACCUGGGCUACACACGUGCUACAAUGGACGGUACAAAGAGCUGCAAGACCGCGAGGUGGAGCUAAUCUCAUAAAACCGUUCUCAGUUCGGAUUGUAGGCUGCAACUCGCCUACAUGAAGCUGGAAUCGCUAGUAAUCGCGGAUCAGCAUGCCGCGGUGAAUACGUUCCCGGGCCUUGUACACACCGCCCGUCACACCACGAGAGUUUGUAACACCCGAAGUCGGUGGGGUAACCUUUUUGGAGCCAGCCGCCUAAGGUGGGACAGAUGAUUGGGGUGAAGUCGUAACAAGGUAGCCGUAUCGGAAGGUGCGGCUGGAUCACCUCCUUU